GCUCUGGUGGUCUAGUAGAAUGAUACGCGCUUUGGGCUGUAUUAGGUGUUACCCUAUAUUCUCAGUUGCGCGGGGUCCCGGGUUCAAAUCCCGGCCAGGGUC